GACGAACGCUGGCGGCGUGCCUAACACAUGCAAGUAGAACGCACAGUUUAUACCGUAGCUUGCUACACCAUAGACAGUGAGUUGCGAACGGGUGAGUAACGCGUAGGUAACCUGCCUGGUAGCGGGGCAUAACUAUUGGAACCGAUAGCUAAUACCGCAUAUUAUUGAUUAUUCCAUGAUAAUUGAUUGAAAGCUCCUAUUGCAUCACUACUAGAUGGACCUGCGUUGUAUUAGCUAGUAGGUGAGGUAACGGCCCACCUAGGCGGCGAUACAUAGCCGACCUGGGAGGGUGAUCAGCCAAACUGGGAACGGAGAACGGCCCAGGCCCCUACGGGAGGCAGCAGUAGGGGAUCAUCGGCAAUGGAGGAAAGGCUGACCGAGCAACGCCGGGUGAGUGAAGAAGGUUUUCGGAUCGUAAAGCUCUGUUGUAAGGGAAGAAAGGGUGUGAGAGUGGAAAGUUCCCACUGUGACGGUAUCUUACCAAAAAGGAACGGCUAACUACGUG
rnacentral:rRNA from 1 species